rnacentral:snRNA from 1 species
GUGCUUGCUUUGGCAGCACAUAUACUAAAAUUGGAACGAUACAGAGAAGAUUAGCAUGGCCCCUGCACAAGGAUGACAUGCAAAUUCGUGAAGCAUUCCAUAUUUAA